rnacentral:rRNA from 1 species
UACAGAGACUGCAAGCGUUAUUCGGAUUCACUGGGCGUAAAGGGUGCGCAGGCGGUCGGGUGUGUCAGAUGUGUAAUCCCGAGGCUCAACCUCGGAACUGCGUCUGAAACUACUCGACUAGAGUACUGGAGAGGGUAACGGAAUUCACGGUGUAGCAGUGAAAUGCGUAGAUAUCGUGAGGAACACCAGAGGCGAAGGCGGUUACCUGGACAGUUACUGACGCUCAGGCACGAAAGCAUGGGGAGCAAAAGGG